rnacentral:rRNA from 1 species
CAACCUUCCCAUAACUGGUGAAUAGCCUUACCGAAAGGGAGAUUAAUACACCGUAACAUAACGAAAAGGCAUCUUUUUGUUAUUAUAGGCUUCGGCCGGUUUUGGAUGGGCGUGCGCCUGAUUAGGUAGUUGGCGGGUAACGGCCCACCAAGCCUGCGAUCAGUAACUGGUGUGAGAGCACGACCAGUCACACGGGCACUGAGACACGGGCCCGACUCCUACGGGAGGCAGCAGUAAGGAAUAUUGGUCAAUGGACGAAAGUCUGAACCAGCCAUGCCGCGUGAAGGAUUAAGGCCCUCUGGGUUGUAAACUUCUUUUAUCUGGGACGAAAAAAGGGCUUUCUAGCUCACUUGACGGUACCAGAGGAAUAAGCACCGGCUAACUCCGUG